rnacentral:rRNA from 1 species
CCUACGGGUGGCAGCAGUGAGGAAUAUUGGUCAAUGGGCGAGAGCCUGAACCAGCCAAGUAGCGUGCAGGAAGACGGCCCUAUGGGUUGUAAACUGCUUUUAUGCGGGGAUAAAGUGAGGGACGUGUCCUUCAUUGCAGGUACCGCAUGAAUAAGGACCGGCUAAUUCCGUGCCAGCAGCCGCGGUAAUACGGAAGGUCCGGGCGUUAUCCGGAUUUAUUGGGUUUAAAGGGAGCGUAGGCCGUGGAUUAAGCGUGUUGUGAAAUGCAGGUGCUCAACGUCUGCACUGCAGCGCGAACUGGUCCACUUGAGUGUGCACAACGCAGGCGGAAUUCGUCGUGUAGCGGUGAAAUGCUUAGAUAUGACGAAGAACUCCGAUUGCGAAGGCAGCUUGCGGGAGCACAACUGACGCUGAAGCUCGAAAGUGCGGGUAUCGAACAGGAUUAGAUACCCGAGUAGUC